CUUGACUGUAGCCUGGAAUUGGGUUCGGGCUUUUCUUGCGCAGCCUAGGUGGGAGGCUAUGAAGAUUUCCUUCCGGGGAAGUUGGAGCCAACAGUGAGAGACCACUCUGGAAAGGCUAGAAUCCUCAUGGUGAUCCUUGAAUCAGGACACUUGACAGUUUCAGGCGGGCAGUUCCUCUGGGGCGGAGGCCUCAUAAAAGGUAACUGAGGUGCGCAAAGGUUCCCUCAGUCUGGACGGAAAUCAGACAACGAGUGUAAAGGCAAAAGGGAGCUUGACUGCAAGACCCACAAGUCGAGCAGGAGCGAAAGCUGGCCUUAGUAAUCCGACGGUGCCGUGUGGAAGGGCCGUCGCUCAACGAAUAAAAGUUA
rnacentral:rRNA from 1 species